GACGUAGGGCGCGAGCGUUGUCCGGAAUCAUUGGGCGUAAAGAGCUCGUAGGCGGCCGGUUGCGUCUGCUGUGAAAUCCCGGGGCUUAACCCCGGGCGUGCAGUGGAUACGGGCUGGCUGGAGGCAGGCAGGGGAGAAUGGAAUUCCCGGUGUAGCGGUGAAAUGCGCAGAUAUCGGGAGGAACACCGGUGGCGAAGGCGGUUCUCUGGGCCUGUGCUGACGCUGAGGAGCGAAAGCGUGGGGAGCGAACAGG
rnacentral:rRNA from 1 species